rnacentral:rRNA from 1 species
GACGAAGGGGGCUAGCGUUGUUCGGAAUUACUGGGCGUAAAGCGCGUGUAGGCGGUUGCCAUAGUCAGGUGUGAAAGCCUUGAGCUCAACUCAAGAAAUGCACUUGAUACUGGGCGACUAGAGGACCGGAGAGGAUAGUGGAAUUCCCAGUGUAGUGGUGAAAUACGUAGAGGUUGGGAAGAACACCAGUGGCGAAGGCGGCUAUCUGGACGGUUUCUGACGCUAAGACGCGAAAGCGUGGGGAGCAAACAGG